GACGAACGCUGGCGGCGUGCUUAACACAUGCAAGUCGAACGGAAAGGCCCUGCUUUUGUGGGGUGCUCGAGUGGCGAACGGGUGAGUAACACGUGAGUAACCUGCCCUUGACUUUGGGAUAACUUCAGGAAACUGGGGCUAAUACCGGAUAGGAGCUCCUGCUGCAUGGUGGGGGUUGGAAAGUUUCGGCGGUUGGGGAUGGACUCGCGGCUUAUCAGCUUGUUGGUGGGGUAGUGGCUUACCAAGGCUUUGACGGGUAGCCGGCCUGAGAGGGUGACCGGCCAAAUUGGGACUGAGGUACCGCCCAGACUCCUACGGGAGGAAGCAGUGGGGAAUAUUGCACAAUGGGCGGAAGCCUGAUGCAGCAACGCCGCGUGCGGGAUGACGGCCUUCGGGUUGUAAACCGCUUUCGCCUGUGACGAAGCGUGAGUGACGGUAAUGGGUAAAGAAGCACCGGCUAACUACGUG
rnacentral:rRNA from 1 species